rnacentral:rRNA from 1 species
UAACACGUAGGGGGCGAGCGUUGUCCGGAUUCAUUGGGCGUAAAGAGCUCGUAGGCGGCUCAGUAAGUCGGGUGUGAAACCCUCAGGCUCAACCUGGGGACGCCACUCGAUACUGCUGUGGCUGGAGUCCAGUAGAGGAGUGUGGAAUUCCCGGUGUAGCGGUGAAAUGCGCAGAUAUCGGGAGGAACACCAACGGCGAAGGCAGCACUCUGGGCUGGUACUGACGCUGAGGAGCGAAAGCGUGGGUAGCAAACAG